GAACUGCUGGAACUUCCUCAUUCUUCUGAGAGAAGCCUAACGGGACAGACGCAAACGUUAUCCUGCCGUAUCUUGUCUCCUGUUUUACAGAACGUCAAACUCCUGUUUAUUCUUCAGUUCCAGUGAUCCAUCGUCAGAGUGAUCAUUGUCAGAGUGAUCCAUCGUCAGGGUGAUCCAUCGUCAGAGUGAUUCAUCGCCAGAGUGAUCAUCGUCAGAGCGAUCCAUCGUCAGAGCGAUCCAUCGUCAGAGCGAUCAUCGUCAGAUUCAAAUGGCUUCAAAUAACAAAAAGAUGAAAAUGUCUGAACCUCAUAAUUACAAGGAAGAACACUGUCACCGAUUCUCCUCUUUCUAGCGGAGACACAGCCCUGAUAUAUAAAGGGGAAAUCACCUGUACCGAACCUGGCAACAUAAUAGAAGUUCUCAAAAGAAAUGAGAUCUUCUGUAAACUAAUGAAAAAGGUGAAGGGAGAGAAGUGUCAUUGUGAAUGAAAAAGGGCCAUAGUGGAGCACUUUCCAUGUUGCUUAAUUAAGAAAGAUGAGACCCUCGUUAUAUACACUUUCCCUAAAACUAAAACACCGGCCAUAGAUGGGAAAAGGGAACUUGAACAGGGAAAAGAACUUGAACAGGGAAAAGAACUUGCACAGGGAAAGAGCAACAGGAAAAAUCCACAUUUGUCACUUUCUGUUUGAGGUAACAGGUGGGAAAAUAUCACAAGCAAGGAGAUACUUAAACACCAAAAACGUAAGAAUUUUAGCCCUCUGUGUAUCUAUGCAAAAUCUGGGGAUACAGUCAAGUCAGCUCUGGAAGCAGAUGGGCUUUCUCAGACAUAGUGUUUGAAAAAACAUGUACACUUUGUGAGGAACCCCAAAAAAACAAAUAUUACUAUGUCCACUGUAGUAAACAAGCUAGAAGAUCGCAGAUUUCAAAUUUUCCUAAAGGAACCGACAAACAGAAAGGUGCUUGGCACCACAAAAUCAAAGAUUUCUGACACAAGAUUCAAAUCUGAGGGUGACACCACACAACCCUCUCAGUCCAACCCAAGUUCAACAUCAGAGGGCCUCUCAGUCCAACCCAAGUUCAACAUCAGGAGGGGCCCUCAGUGGGAAUAUGACACAGAAGCGACAGGCAAAUAAGAAACAAAAACAUUCCAUGCCAGAUUCGAGGGAAAUUCAGCAGAUCUUAUGCGACCAGUUUAAAGGUUUACUAGAUCACAUGAAGAGUAGGUAUCCACAGGAGAAAUCUGAGUCUGAAGUGAUAGAGUUGAUGAGGGAGGAAUUUGUGUAAGAAACCGGAGAGUUUUACUGAAGUGUACAGGUUAACAGAGCUGGCAGAAGUGACCACCUCAGUCUGUAAAGUCGAACACGAAUUGAUCGAAGGAACAGGUUUCCUGCUGUUCGAUAACCUCAUCCUGACAAAUGGUCAUUUGUUCAAGGAUAAAGGUGUACUUCAGGGAAAGACAACUGUUGGUUCCCACAACUGUCACGUUUAAUUUUGACAACGCACUUGGAUCAGGUCAGUGGAAGGUAAAUGUUAAACCAGAAGUGGUUGCCCUCCAAUAUGGAGUUGAUAGGUGGGGGCGUCAGGUGACUAUGCCAUACUGAGCUGAGUACCCCGUUAAAAGGCAAGAAAAUUUCCUCCAGGUCUCCUUCAGAAGUAUGGCCCAGUCCCUCAGACAGGUGGGAUCUACAUCGUUGGCCAUCCAGAUGGAGGGAUUAAAAAGAUGGACUCCACGACCAUAAUAGAGGUGGAACAAAGAAAUGCAGCUGAGAUCAAACAUUUAGGAGAAACCAGAGCUCCAUCAUGAUAAUCAAAGAAGCAUUUUGGGUAAUGAGUUGGACAAAGAGUUUUAUGAGCAGAUAAUACAGGGCAAACUGGAUGUGCUGACCUAUAACACCUUCUGCUUUAAUGGAGCCUCUGGGUCUCCGGUUAUAAAUCCCAGUCAUUGUCAAGUAAUUAAUGGCAUCCCAGUAUAUGGUUGCCAGGUGAUUGCCAUGCAUACUGCUGGCUUUUCUUACAAAUGUAAGGGAACUCAUGAAACUCACAGUGUGAUUGAAUAUGCAAUCCCUCUCAGGACCAUUCUAGAAAACGUAUUGUUCUACUUGGUGGAGACAAACAAUCUUCAAAUGUUGUCAAGAUUCACCAAUGUGCCAUAAAACCCACAUCUGUUUCAGCUCAUUGCCUGUCUUAUCAUUGAGAUGGUGCCACAUUGCAGCCUGAAUACUCUGAUAUCCUUAAGGGAAUAUGGAACACAAUAUCACGAAGUCGUAAAAGAGAUGAGAUGCAAAAUUGAUCAUUGACAUAAGUGCAGGUACAUCAGGGAUUGGAUUGAGGUGCUGAACUGUGUUUUAACAGAAGUUGGGGUGGAUCUGGCUGCAGAUGUCACCUGUGAGUUGGGAAGCAGCUUUAGGCCAUUUAAAUCCCCCCCCCCCC